rnacentral:rRNA from 1 species
CAGAGGGUGCAAACGUUGCUCGGAAUUACUGGGCGUAAAGCGCGUGUAGGCGGUCACGCAAGUCAGGUGUGAAAGCCCAGGGCUCAACCCUGGAAGUGCACAUGAUACUACGUGGCUGGAGUACUGAAGAGGAGAGCGGAAUUCCCGGUGUAGAGGUGAAAUUCGUAGAUAUCGGGAGGAACACCGGUGGCGAAGGCGGCUCUCUGGGCAGAUACUGACGCUGAGACGCGAAAGCGUGGGUAGCAAACAGGAUUAGAUACCCUGGUAGUCCACGCUGUAAACGAUGAGAACUGGGUGUCGUGGGUAUUGACCCCCGCGGUGCCGAAGCCAACGCGUUAAGUUCUCCGCCUGGGAAGUACGGCCGCAAGGCUA